UACGUAGGGGGCUAGCGUUGUCCGGAAUCAUUGGGCGUAAAGCGCGUGUAGGCGGUCCGGUAAGUCCGCUGUGAAAGUCGGGGGCUCAACCCUCGGAUGCCGGUGGAUACUGUCGGGCUUGAGUACGGAAGAGGCGAGUGGAAUUCCUGGUGUAGCGGUGGAAUGCGCAGAUAUCAGGAGGAACACCAAUAGCGAAGGCAGCUCGCUGGGACGUUACUGACACUGAGGCGCGAAAGCGUGGGGAGCGAACAGG
rnacentral:rRNA from 1 species